rnacentral:rRNA from 1 species
UACGAAGGGGGCUAGCGUUGCUCGGAAUCACUGGGCGUAAAGCGCACGUAGGCGGGUUCUUAAGUCAGGGGUGAAAUCCUGGAGCUCAACUCCAGAACUGCCUUUGAUACUGGGAAUCUCGAGUCCGGGAGAGGUGAGUGGAACUGCGAGUGUAGAGGUGAAAUUCGUAGAUAUUCGCAAGAACACCAGUGGCGAAGGCGGCUCACUGGCCCGGUAUUGACGCUGAGGUGCGAAAGCGUGGGGAGCAAACAGG